UACGGGGGGAGCAAGCGUUUGUUCGGAUUUACUGGGCGUAAAGGGCGCGUAGGCGGCCAGCACAAGUCAGUUGUGAAAUCUCCGAGCUUAACUCGGAAAGGUCAACUGAUACUGUGCGGCUAGAGUGCGGAAGGGGCAACUGGAAUUCUUGGUGUAGCGGUGAAAUGCGUAGAUAUCAAGAGGAACACCUGCGGCGAAGGCGGGUUGCUGGGCCGACACUGACGCUGAGGCGCGAAAGCUAGGGGAGCGAACGGG
rnacentral:rRNA from 1 species